rnacentral:rRNA from 1 species
CCCAGUGACUCUUUUAAACGGCCGCGGUAUCCUAACCGUGCAAAGGUAGCAUAAUCACUUGUCUCUUAAAUAGAGACUAGAAUGAAUGGCUAAAUGAGGACUAAUCUGUCUCUUACGGACCAACCAAUGAAAUUAAUCUUUCAGUACAAAAGCUGAAAUAAAAACAUAAGACGAGAAGACCCUGUGGAGCUUCAAACCAAAAACACCCUGCAUGCUCCUCAGGUUUUUAGUUGGGGCGACUUCGGAGCACAAUAAAACCUCCAAAAUCUCUAUCUUCAAGAUUAACAAACCAAAAACUUUAUUAGACCCAGCAAUGUAUAACAUUGUCUGACCACUGAACCAAGUUACCCCAGGGAUAACAGCGCCAUCCCCUCCUAGAGUCCAUAUCAACAAGGGGGUUUACGACCUCGAUGUUGGAUCAGGACACCCCAAUGGUGCAGCCGCCAUUAAAGGUUCGUUUGUUCAACGAUUAAUUAGUCC